rnacentral:rRNA from 1 species
AUACGAAGGGGGCUAGCGUUGCUCGGAAUUACUGGGCGUAAAGGGAGCGUAGGCGGAUAGUUUAGUCAGAGGUGAAAGCCCAGGGCUCAACCUUGGAAUUGCCUUUGAUACUGGCUAUCUUGAGUAUGGAAGAGGUAUGUGGAACUCCGAGUGUAGAGGUGAAAUUCGUAGAUAUUCGGAAGAACACCAGUGGCGAAGGCGACAUACUGGUCCAUUACUGACGCUGAGGCUCGAAAGCGUGGGGAGC